rnacentral:rRNA from 1 species
AUACGGAGGGUGCAAGCGUUAUUCGGAAUCACUGGGCGUAAAGGACGCGUAGGCGGGUUGGCAAGUCAGAUGUGAAAUCCUACAGCUUAACUGUAGAACUGUAUUUGAAACUGCUAACCUAGAAUAUGGGAGGGGGAGAUGGAAUUAGUGGUGUAGGGGUAAAAUCCGUAGAUAUCACUAGGAAUACCGAAAGCGAAGGCGAUCUCCUGGAACAUAACUGACGCUAAGGCGUGAAAGCGUGGGGAGCAAACAGGAUUAGAAACCCUAGUAGUCC